UACGUAGGGUCCGAGCGUUGUCCGGAAUUAUUGGGCGUAAAGAGCUCGUAGGCGGUUUGUCGCGUCUGCUGUGAAAUCCUCAGGCUCAACCUGGGGCUUGCAGUGGGUACGGGCAGACUAGAGUGCGGUAGGGGUGACUGGAAUUCCUGGUGUAGCGGUGGAAUGCGCAGAUAUCAGGAGGAACACCGAUGGCGAAGGCAGGUCACUGGGCCGCAACUGACGCUGAGGAGCGAAAGCAUGGGGAGCGAACAGG
rnacentral:rRNA from 1 species